UAAUACGGAGGGUGCGAGCGUUGUCCGGAAUCAUUGGGCGUAAAGGGCGCGUAGGUGGCGCGGCAAGCGUGCGGUGAAAGCUCGGGGCUCAACCCCGAGUCGGCCGUGCGAACUGCCGCGCUCGAGCACUGUAGAGGCAGGCGGAAUUCCGGGUGUAGCGGUGGAAUGCGUAGAGAUCCGGAAGAACACCGGUGGCGAAGGCGGCCUGCUGGGCAGUGGCUGACACUGAGGCGCGACAGCGUGGGGAGCAAACAGGAUUAGAUACCCUGGUAGUCCACGCCGUAAACGAUGGGCACUAGGCGCUUGGGGGAGCGACCCCUCGAGGGCCGGCGCUAACGCAUUAAGUGCCCCGCCUGGGGAGUACGGCCGCAAGGCUG
rnacentral:rRNA from 1 species